rnacentral:RNase_P_RNA from 1 species
CGGGUGAGCCGGGCGAUCGCUGGCUGCUCCUGGGACUCGGGUGACCGGGACACAGGACAAGCGGGAGGAAAGUCCGGACUCCGAUUGGGCAACGCGCCUGGUAACGCCAGGGGGCCGGUCCUUGGGAUUUGCGGGCGCAAGCUCGCGCCAGGGAACGCGGCUACGGAAAGUGCCACAGAAAAUAGACCGCCGGUGCGGCUUGCACCUCGGUGGCGGACUCGCGGUAAACCACGAGGCUGCCCUCAUUCGGUCAAGCGGUACUUGGCAAGGGUGAAAAGGUGGGGUAAGAGCCCACCGCCCCGUCAGUGAUGGCGGGGGCACGGAAAACCCCGCGUGGAGCAAGGCCAAAUAGGAGGGGAGGGCUGGCCCGGCCCGGAUGACGUCGCUUGCGAGAGCGGCGGCUGCGACCCUCGGGUAGGCUGCUGGAGUCCCGGAGCGAUCCGGGACCUAGAGGAAUGAUCGCCGCCUGCACGCGCGUUUCGAUGCAAAUCGAAGCGCGUCGCGCGUCGCACAGAAUCCGGCUUACAGGCUCACCCGCGUA